AAUAUAUCACACAGCCUAAAAUACCAUUUUUUUUCUCCCAGCCACAUCUCUCCCCUGAUUCCUCUAUGUCUCACACCACAGCGCCGCCGCCGCCGCCAACUCCGAUUCCGGGAGGCUCCGGUGGACUCCCAACCCACUGCUCACGGAUCUCCCCGACUCCCUCUAUGUUCUCCCCCGAUACUUCGCACCCGUCCACCGCGCCCCUGCACGCACGCCACGCAACAACCCUAGUCGCCAGGCGUCGCCGGCGUGGCUCCGGUAGCUCUGGUUUAUCAGCCAACUACCACUGCAUCACCUCACGCGCAGCAGCCGGCUCGGGAUUGACAUUGAUUUAUCUACUACACUAGUGCAUUGCAAUAAAGAGAAAUCCAUGAAUAUGCAGAAGAAGCCUUGGGAAUUAUUUAAGUCAGUUGUUUAUAGCAUGAUGUUUCCAAAUAGUAGAAGGAUGCAUGAUUGGUCAGCACACAAACUCUUGGCCAGGUUACAGAGACUCAAUUGUUCCAAGUUGAUGUUGUUGGCGCUAAAACAUAGAAGACCACUAGUGCCAAGGUGGAUUUACUAGGAGAUUGCAAUAUUCGGUGAUGCAUGGUUCAGAUGUUGAUUGCAAGGUCAAGAAUAGGGGUGCUACUAGAUAGUUUCACAUUGUGUCUUUUUCUAGUGCCAAUGUUUCAAUCAUUAUGUUUCUGAUAUUUUCUGUGUCAAUGUUUCGAUUAUUAUGUUUCAGAAUGGCUGAGACGUUGGUUGCAAGGUCAAGAAUGGGAUUAGUACUAGUUUCAAAUCUUGUAAUCUUUGUAUCGUGUCCUUUGUAAUACAAACAAGUUGAUUUAAUACAUGAGAAAUUUCUUUUUAUUA